rnacentral:rRNA from 1 species
UCGAGAGGCUUUGUCAAUGGGGGAAACCCUGAACAAGCGACGCCGCGUGGAGGAUGAAGGCCCUUGGGUUGUAAACUCCUUUUGUCGGGGAAGAAGUGCGAUCAGGUGAACAAUCUGGUCGUUUGACGGUACCCGACGAAUAAGCUCCGGCUAACUCCGUGCCAGCAGCCGCGGUAAUACGGGGGGAGCAAGCGUUGUUCGGAAUCACUGGGCGUAAAGGGCGUGUAGGCGGUCUGGUAAGUGGGAUGUGAAAUGCCUCGGCUCACCCGAGGAUCUGCAUCCCAAACUGCCUGACUUGAGUAUGGGAGAGGAUGAGGGAAUUCCUGGUGUAGCGGUGAAAUGCGUAGAUAUCAGGAGGAACACCGGUGGCGAAGGCGCUCAUCUGGCCCAAUACUGACGCUGAGGCGCGAAAGCUAGGGGAGCAAACGGG